rnacentral:rRNA from 1 species
GAGCGGUAACAGGAGCUGUAGCAAUACAGUUUGCUGACGAGCGGCGGACGGGUGAGUAAUACGUAGGAACCUGCCCUUAAGCGGGGGACAACCAAGGGAAACUUUGGCUAAUACCGCAUAAACUCGAGAGAGGAAAGCUGCCCGCGAGGGUGGCACUUGAGGAGGGGCCUGCGUCCGAUUAGCUAGUUGGUAGGGUAAGAGCCUACCAAGGCGAUGAUCGGUCUCCGGUCUGAGAGGACGACCAGUCACACUGGGACUGAGACACGGCCCAGACUCCUACGGGAGGCAGCAGUGGGGAAUAUUGGACAAUGGGGGCAACCCUGAUCCAGCGAUGCCGCGUGAGUGAAGAAGGCCUUCGGGUCGUAAAGCUCUUUAGGUUGGGAAGAAGGGUGCGGUAUGAAUAAUGCCGUACUUUGACGGUACCGACAGAAUAAGCACCGGCAAACUCUGUG